rnacentral:rRNA from 1 species
CUACCAUGCAGUCGAACGAGAAAGUUCCGUUCGCGGAAUGAGUAAAGUGGCGCACGGGUGAGUAACACGUGGAUAAUCUGCCCUUAAGCGAGGAAUAACAUUUCGAAAGGAAUGCUAAUACCUCAUAAUGUUAUUUUCUCUUCGGAGGGAAUAGCCAAAGGUGACCUCUGUCUCAAGUUGCCGCUUAGAGAUGAGUCCGCGGCCCUUUAGCUAGUUGGUGGGGUAAAAGCCUACCAAGGCGACGAUGGGUAGCUGGUCUGAGAGGAUGAUCAGCCACACUGGAACUGAGAUACGGUCCAGACUCCUACGGGAGGCAGCAGUGAGGAAUCUUGCGCAAUGGGGGAAACCCUGACGCAGCAACGCCGUGUGAGUGAUUAAGGUCUUCGGGUCGUAAAGCUCUGUUUGAAGGGACGAAACGUAUUUGAUUAAUACUCAAAUAACUUGACGGUACCUUCAGAGGAAGCACCGGCUAACUCCGUGCCAGCAGCCGCGGUAAUACGGAGGGUGCAAGCGUUGUUCGGAAUCACUGGGCGUAAAGGGCGUGUAGGUGGCUAAUUAAGUCAGGUGUGAAAUCCUUCCGCUUAACGGGAGAAGUGCACUUGAAACUGCUUAGCUAGAGUACGGGAGAGGAAGGUGGAAUUCCUGGUGUAGAGGUGAAAUUCAUAGAUAUCGGGAAGAACACCGGUGGCGAAGGCGGCCUUCUGGCCCGAUACUGACGCUGAGGCGCGAAAGCGUGGGGAGCAAACAGGAUUAGAUACCCUGGUAGUCCACGCCGUAAACGUUGGGCACUAGGUGUGGGAGGUUUUUAUUUCCUUCUUUGCCGAAGCUAACGCAUUAAGUGC